rnacentral:lncRNA from 1 species
UCGUUGUUGUUCUUGUUGUUGUUGUUCUUGUUGUUGUUGUUGUUGUUGUUUUUGUUGUUGUUGUUGUUGUCGUUGCUAUCGUUGUUGUAGUUGUUGUCAAUGUCGUCGUUGUUGUUGUUGUUGUUGUUGUUGUUGUUGUUGUUGUUGUUGUUGUUGUCGUCGUUGUCGUUGUUGUUGUUGUUGUGGUUGUUGUUGUUGUUGUUGUUGUUGUUGUUGUUGUUGUUAUUGUUGUUGUUGUUGUCGUCGU